UCCUGGCCUCCCGGGCUGGCCAGGCGCCUCUCGUCUUUCAGGAAGGGGGUGGGGGUGGGGCAGGAGGUGGUGGUCGUUGCCACGGCUUCCCGAGUCCCCAGGGCCACUGACAGGGGUGCAUCUGGGGGUGGGGGCGUGGAAGGCUGGUCUUUAAGAGCAGUGGUCGUGAGCAGCUAGUGAACACUUCUCACGUGCAGGCCCGUCCUAGGCUCUCUUGGAUUAUUCAGCCCUUUCCACAACAACUUGGGGGUGGGUCCUGUUAUUUUACCCACUGUACAGAUGAAGAAAUUGAGGCACCCAAACAUCAGAGGCCUGCCUUCGUGGGAGGCUGUCCUGUGUAGUCGCCACUUACAAACGAAGGGCUUCUUCAAUCCUGUGUUUGACUAACGUGUCCCCCAACUGCUCGGUUUCUGGAUUGGAACGAGGUGGAGAGCUUUGCAAUUACUCAUGCCUGAACAGUCAUGGAAAAUGUCUUUUCGAACAUCUCUACCAUUCUGUGCCCACUGCUGGAUUCUGUAAACCAAGCAGCUGCCGGUGGGCGUGGCGGGGGGAGUGGGGGGGGGCCUCACCCUUGAGUCAGGGAGUCAGCGCCAAGUGCAUCGGCCCUAAAAAGAGCCUGGACCAGGAGAGAAGGUUUGUUUGGAAAUUUUAGCUGCCGUUUUAGGGUAGCUUUCUGGGAAGGGGGAGCACUGGAGAAGAGCCCAGCAUUUUCAGAGAAGCCUGUGUUUGUGUGUGUAUGUGGGAGGGGGGGGGGCGGUGAUCCUGAACUUCGUCACAUAGGGCAGUGGCACCUGAAUGUCCACGUCAAGCUCUGGAAGCCCUACGUGUGUUCAUUCAUUCAGCGUAUAUUUGUUGAGGACCUGCUAUGUGCCAGAUGUGAUUCGAGGUCCUGGGGGUCUGUAGACACAUGGAGAACUCUGCCUGCACGGUACUGACGUUCUGGACCAACAAAGUAUGGGCCAGAUUGUACCCUCAAAGGUGGUAAAUGCUAAGGAGAAAAAUAAAGCAGGGGCGUGAAAGAUUGUGAUUUUAGAUAUUGCGAAGGUAGUUCUCAUAACACCCUGAAGGAAGUGAAGGAGUAAGCCAUGCAUAUCUGGAGGAUGCACUUCCUGGCAGAGAAGUGCACAUGCAAAGGCCCUGGGGUGGGAAUUGCCCCGGUGCAUUUGAGAACCAGCACAGAAACCACUGUGGCUGAAGCAGAGUGAGUGUGGGGGAGAACAGUAGCAGAUCAAGUUGGGGAGGUCAUGGGUGCCCUGAAGACCAUGGUCAGGACUUUGGUUUUCCCUGGAGGGACAAGGAGUCAAACGGAGGGCUUGAGUGGCUAAGUGGCAGAUCUGACUUCAGGUUUACUAGGAUCACGCUGACUGCUGGGAGGGCAGAGGUGAACAUGGGGAGUCUGAUUAGGGGCGGUCCGUGUGUCACAGGUCAGGCUGUCCGGGAAGCAGGCUCUGCAUUGCUGGUUAGCGAGAGCAAGGUCUGCAGGACGAGUCAGCAAGCUGAGUAUCCAGGAGAGCCAAGGGUUUAGCUCCAGUCUGAGUCCAACAGCCUGAGAAGCAGGAGAGCUGACAGGGUAGUUCCUGUCCGAGGGCUGGAGGCUCAAGAGCCAGGAAGAGCCAGUGUCUCAGUUCAGGUGGGCAGUUCGUCGGGCAGGAAGAAUUCUCGGUGACUUGGGGGAGGGCAGCCUUUUUGUUCUGUGCAGGCCUUCCACUGAUCGGAUGAGGCCCACCCACAUUAGGGAGAGCAAUCUGCCUUACUCCAUGUACUGAUUUAAAUAUUAAUCUCACUGAAAAACACCCUCAGAGAAACACCCAGCAUAAUGUUUGACUAAAUAUCUGGGCACCCCACCCCGGGCCCGGUCAAGUUGACACAUAAAAUUAACGACACGUAACAAUCAUCACAAGGGCUGACAGCUAAGGCUCCUGCCGAUUGUGCUCGCAGUGUUUCAGGGGUUCCGGGAAGCACCCACCCCACCAGGUGGGAGAAGACAGAGGCUCAGAGUCAGGCGAUGACAGCGGAGGUGAUAAAACCUGGUCAGCUUCUGGCUUUGCUUUGCACGUAAUUGCACAAGACUUGCCGACAGUUCAGAUAUGGGAGGUGGGGGAAAGGGAGAAACAAGGAGGACUCCUUAUUUUGGCUUGAGCCACACGAAAGAUGGGGCUACUGUUGCCUGAGAGGGGAGGACAGCAGUGAGGCAGGUUUGGGGGAUCAGGGGUUCAGUGUGACAGGCGGAGCUUGGGAGCUGGGUGACAUUCCAGCAGGAAUGUCCAAGAGGCAGGUGGAUAUAGGCGUCUGGAGUGUGGGGAAAAGUCCAGGCUGGCCAUAUCAACACGGACCCUGCAGAGAAGCGAAGUGUCAAGUCCGCCUCUGGACGGGAACAGUGAGGUGGGGAGGUGACACUCACCCAGCUGGGCUAUCUCUGUCCUGCAUUACAGAACCACUGGUGGGCUCACCUUGUGUCUCCCACGUGAUUUUCCUGUCGCGAUAGAAAAGAGGGUGUUUCCUUCCUUCCUAGAAUCUGCGUGUGAACUCGUGGGCUGGGAUCAUGUCCAAAGUCACUCCAGCCAGCAUCCCUUUUGUUCUUCCACGUGGCUGGCCCUGAGAUAAGCCGUUGACGGGUGUACCUCACUUUAUGGUCAAAACAGCCCCAUGAGGUGGGUUUACUGAUCACCAUUGCUUCAUCGAAGACACCAAGGAAUCUCAUUCAUUCAUUCAUUCA